rnacentral:rRNA from 5 species
CAGGUAGGGAUACCCGCUGAACUUAAGCAUAUCA